rnacentral:rRNA from 1 species
GUCUACGGCCAUGCUACCCUGAACAAGCCUGAUCCUGUGUGCUCUCAGAAGCAAAGGGUCAGGCCUGAUUAAUACUUGGAUGGGAGACCACCUAGGAAGACCAGGUACUGUAUGCA